AUACUUUCUCACUUUAGUACCCUGUGGUUUAAAAUGUACAAGUUAGUACCUUAUGGUUUCAUUUAUCCCUUUUCAUUAUCCAUUUCACUAAUUUUUUUCGUUAAAUCAGUGACAAAGUUAAAAUUAAGGGUACUAAAGUGAAUAUUCGAUAAACUUAGGUAGGGUAUCUAAAGUUUUUUUUGUAUAUAAUUUAAUGAAAUAUUAACGGAGAAAAAUAAAUCAGUGACAAAAUUAAAACUAAAGGGUACUAAAGUAAAUAUUCGAUAAACUUAGGUAGGGUAUCUGAAGUUUUUUGUAUAUAAUUUAACAACAUAUUAACAGAGGAGCCGACGAAAAGAAAAAAAAUGAAACCAUACGGUACUAAAUUGAUGCAUUUUAAACCACAUAGUACUAAAGUAAUAAAGUGCGAAACCACAUGAUACUAAAUUGAUACACUUUAAACUAUAGGAUAUAAAGUUAAAAAGUGCGAAACCACAUGAGUGGUAUUUGAAGCUUUUCCUAUUAAUUAUUAUUAUCUAUGUUAGUUACAUUUUAAUUAGAUAAAUUGAUUUCUAUUAAAUCUAACAUUAAAUCUAACAUCUAUACACAUACAUUAUUUCUCAUAAGCUUUUGCCACGUGGCAGCAUCAUAGUCUCUCCUUCUCAAAAUUUCUACUCUCCAAUCAUUGCGACUGCUAGCCUUUCUCGUAACGUCUGCCACUUCGGCUUUCCGUCUCAUUAAUUCCUUCCCUAUAACAGCUGCCUCUUCAGCUUUCCGUCUCAUUAAUUCAUUCUCUGUAAUGUCACUGCUUCGACUUCCUACUUCAUUAGUUGCCCGAGGAGCCCAUAGGCACAGCUACGGCAUCUU
rnacentral:lncRNA from 1 species